UGGGGAAUAUUGCACAAUGGAGGGAACUCUGAUGCAGCGACGCCGCGUGAACGAAGAAGGCUCUCGAGUCGUAAAGUUCUUUUAUAUGGGAAGAUAAUGACGGUACCAUAAGAAAAAGCCCCGGCUAACUACGUGCCAGCAGCCGCGGUAAUACGUAGGGGGCUAGCGUUGUCCGGAAUCACUGGGCGUAAAGGGUUCGCAGGCGGAAAUGCAAGUCAGGUGUAAAAGGCAGUAGCUUAACUACUGUAAGCAUUUGAAACUGCAUAUCUUGAGAAGAGUAGAGGUAAGUGGAAUUUUUAGUGUAGCGGUGAAAUGCGUAGAUAGUAAAAAGAAUACCGGUGGCGAAGGCGACUUACUGGGCUCAUUCUGACGCUGAGGAACGAAAGCGUGGGUAGCAAACAGG
rnacentral:rRNA from 1 species